rnacentral:rRNA from 1 species
UACGAAGGGGGCUAGCGUUGCUCGGAAUCACUGGGCGUAAAGCGCACGUAGGCGGGUCCUUAAGUCAGGGGUGAAAUCCCGGAGCUCAACUCCGGAACUGCCUUUGAUACUGGGGAUCUUGAGUCCGGAAGAGGUGAGUGGAACUCCGAGUGUAGAGGUGAAAUUCGUAGAUAUUCGGAAGAACACCAGUGGCGAAGGCGGCUCACUGGUCCGGUACUGACGCUGAGGUGCGAAAGCGUGGGGGAGCAAACAGG